rnacentral:rRNA from 1 species
UACAGAGGGGGGCAAGCGUUGUUCGGAAUUACUGGGCGUAAAGGGCGCGUAGGCGGCCUGUUAAGUCGAACGUGAAAUCCCCGGGCUCAACCCGGGAACUGCGUCCGAUACUGGCAGGCUUGAAUCCGGGAGAGGGAUGCGGAAUUCCAGGUGUAGCGGUGGAAUGCGUAGAGAUCCGGAGGAACACCGGUGGCGAAGGCGGUCUGCUGGGCAGUAGCUGACACUGAGGCGCGACAGCGUGGGGAGCAAACAGG